GUCAGUAACACCACACUGAUGUGGGUCGUACGCCUCUUGAAGAAUAAUAUAGAUUAUUCAUAUUCUACAGAACGGUAACAUAUCUCUCCAAAUAUCUGACCUUGGCUAUACGGGGAAACCCAACCCCCUAGGAAGAUGAGUUAAAUGGCUAAAUUGAACGGA
rnacentral:ribozyme from 1 species